GUGCUCUUUUCAGCAGCACUACAGUAAAAUUAGAGACAUGGAGAAGAUGAGCACGGCCCCUGAGGAAGAAUAACAUACAAAUUCAAAUGAAGCAUUUCAUAUUUUU
ensembl:snRNA U6 U6 spliceosomal RNA